rnacentral:rRNA from 1 species
UACGUAGGGUGCAAGCGUUAAUCGGAAUUACUGGGCGUAAAGCGUGCGCAGGCGGUUAUGCAAGACAGAUGUGAAAUCCCCGGGCUCAACCUGGGAACUGCAUUUGUGACUGCAUCGCUGGAGUACGGUAGAGGGGGAUGGAAUUCCGCGUGUAGCAGUGAAAUGCGUAGAUAUGCGGAGGAACACCGAUGGCGAAGGCAAUCCCCUGGACCUGUACUGACGCUCAUGCACGAAAGCGUGGGGAGCAAACAGG